rnacentral:rRNA from 1 species
CCUACGGGAGGCAGCAGUGGGGAAUUUUGGACAAUGGGCGAAAGCCUGAUCCAGCAAUGCCGCGUGCAGGAAGAAGGCCUUCGGGUUGUAAACUGCUUUUGUACGGAACGAAAAGGUCUGCCCUAAUACGGCGGGCUCAUGACGGUACCGUAAGAAUAAGCACCGGCUAACUACGUGCCAGCAGCCGCGGUAAUACGUAGGGUGCGAGCGUUAAUCGGAAUUACUGGGCGUAAAGCGUGCGCAGGCGGUUAUAUAAGACAGUUGUGAAAUCCCCGGGCUCAACCUGGGAAUUGCAUCUGUGACUGUAUAGCUAGAGUACGGUAGAGGGGGAUGGAAUUCCGCGUGUAGCAGUGAAAUGCGUAGAUAUGCGGAGGAACACCGAUGGCGAAGGCAAUCCCCUGGACCUGUACUGACGCUCAUGCACGAAAGCGUGAGGAGCAAACAGGAUUAGAUACCCUGGUAGUCCACGCCCUAAACGAUGUCAACUGGUUGUUGGGUGCAUUAGUACUCAGUAACGAAGCUAACGCGUGAAGCUGACCGCCUGGGGAGUACGGCCGCAAGGUUGAAACUCAAAUGAAUUGACGG